UGGGGGACGCAUGUCCGGAAGGCGAAAACAAAAUCGACAACGCGCUUGACUACCUUGCGGACCAAUAUAGAUGGACUGGACUGGGGAAUUUUUGCCACUGGAAUGCAGCCACCCAGUCAUCCAGGAGGAGUUGAAGCUCAGGGGACUUUGUGUGAAAUGAGAAAUGGUCCACCGUAACAAACUCGUUAAACAUUUCUUCAACAUAGCACCAGUCCCAGAUGCUGAUAAUGUUGUUCAAGGAUACUAAAUACAAAUCACCAACAUCUUGACGAACCAGAUUCGCGGCAUCCGCAAAAACGAAGGAACAAGAAAAACCAAAAAAAAAAAAAAAUGGAACUUUCUCGCCACAGUCAUUUCUAGCGAUAUUUCUUACCCUUACUCGGUUCAUUCCCCCUUUUCACCAGCGUAAUAUCCCCAAUAUCCAUCUGUAGCUCAGAGUCACCUACCAAACCUGGUAGUUUCCACAGCGCCUGGCACUCCUGGAACUCCGAAGCGCACGCAAAAUCGGGCUCGUCUUUGAUCUCUUGCGCAAAAUCCGCUCCGAAUCGGAACAUACUAUACCCAUCCAACGUAUC
rnacentral:sRNA from 1 species